UUGUCCUAUACCUCCUGCCCAGGGCAGUUGCACGGUGGACCUUUCCAUUAAACGGCUGUGCGGGUAUGAAAUGCCUAGCCACCUUGCUGCUUUUCUUCCGACUGAUAUUUGUACAAGCGUUUUUCAGAAAGCCGCAAGUCAAGAACGCCACAGUGCCACUGAUAUGUCACAUGUCACCGUAUGAUGGCAAUGACUGUAGGGCAGCAGGUGACCUAUGGUAUUACGACCUUGCCAAUAAAUCUUGCAAAAUGCUCACGACAGGUUCGUGCAGCUCUGGCAGCAACCGCUUCCACACAAUCGCCAAGUGCCAGCAAAUAUGCGAGCCUCGCACUGGACCAGUGGAAGCUGUAUGUCUGAAACAACCGGUCGCUGGAAUGUGCUCCCUAGUGUCUCAUGCCUGGUACUUCGACCGGUCAAGCCAAAAUUGCAAAAUGUUCAGCUAUACUUCUUGCUUGAAACGGCACAACUUCUUCUUAUCAGAAAUGAAGUGCCAGUCAGUGUGCCUACAGGGCACCGAAACCAUUCUGCAGUCAACAACCAGUAUCUACAUUUUGUACAGGCCAGGCUAACCACUGGUACUUUGACGAAAACAAAAACACGUGCCUCGUAUUUCUGAAAAAGCGCUGUGGGAAACCCAACAACCGAUUUAAUACCUUUGCCCAGUGCAUGAACAGAUGCAGCUAUGUCACGUCAUAGGUGGACAACGCAUGACUUCAGGAAACAAGCCAGCAUAAACUGCUGGCAACUAAUCAGACAAUCCCAGACAGCUUUUACCCGCAACAUUUUUUUUAUUAUUUUAUACCGAUAUCUGCAAGCAAUAAAGAACUCUCUUUCAUGUAAACUCACCAGAAAGUUUUGCCGUU
rnacentral:misc_RNA from 1 species